rnacentral:rRNA from 1 species
UAAGGAAUCUUCCACAAUGGACGAAAGUCUGAUGGAGCAACACCGCGUGCAGGAUGAAGGUUUUCGGAUCGUAAACUGCUUUUAUAGAGGAAGAUUAUGACGGUACUCUAUGAAUAAGGACCGGCUAACUACGUGCCAGCAGCCGCGGUAAUACGUAGGGUCCAAGCGUUAUCCGGAAUCACUGGGCGUAAAGCGUGCGUAGGUGGUUCGUUAAGUGAGAUGUUAAAACGUGUGGCUCAACCAUAUCGUUGUAUCUCAUACUGGCGAACUAGAGGAUGGCAGAGGCAAGUGGAAUUUCUCGUGUAGCAGUGAAAUGCGUAGAUAUGAGAAGGAACACCAAUGGCGAAGGCAGCUUGCUGGGCCACCCCUGACACUGAGGUACGAAAGCGUGGGGAGCGAACAG